rnacentral:rRNA from 1 species
UACGUAGGGUGCGAGCGUUGUCCGGAUUUAUUGGGCGUAAAGGGCUCGUAGGCGGCGUGUCGCGUCGGGAGUGAAAGCCCGUUGCUUAACGGCGGGUUGGCUUUCGGUACGGGCAUGCUGGAGCGCGGCAGGGGAGACUGGAAUUCCUGGUGUAGCGGUGGAAUGCGCAGAUAUCAGGAGGAACACCGGUGGCGAAGGCGGGUCUCUGGGCCUGUUCUGACGCUGAGGAGCGAAAGCGUGGGGAGCGAACAGG